rnacentral:rRNA from 1 species
CCUACGGGAGGCAGCAGUGAGGAAUAUUGGUCAAUGGACGAGAGUCUGAACCAGCCAAGUAGCGUGAAGGAUGACUGCCCUAUGGGUUGUAAACUUCUUUUAUAAAGGAAUAAAACGAGGCACGUGUGCCUUUUUGCAUGUACUUUAUGAAUAAGGAUCGGCUAACUCCGUGCCAGCAGCCGCGGUAAUACGGAGGAUCCGAGCGUUAUCCGGAUUUAUUGGGUUUAAAGGGAGCGUAGAUGGGUUGGUAAGUCAGUUGUGAAAGGUUGCGGCUCAACCGUAAAAUUGCAAUUGAUACUGGCAGUCUUGAGUACAGUUGAGGUAGGCGGAAUUCGUGGUGUAGCGGUGAAAUGCUUAGAUAUCACGAAGAACCCCGAUUGCGAAGGCAGCUUACUAAACUGUGACUGACAUUGAUGCUCGAAAGUGUGGGUAUCAAACAGGAUUAGAUACCCCAGUAGUC